UAGAGUUUGCUGCUUAAUUUAAUUCAACAAAGGAAAACUUACUAGGUGCAUUCAUAAUAAGGAUUGAUAAACUGAGAGUACUUGUUUAAUUUUAUGAGUGAUGGUAUAUGAUCAUUCUUAGUUGGUGAAAUAAUUUAUCUGAUUAAUUUCAUUAAAUGAAAAUUUAGUAUAUUAAAUAGUUAUAUGGAGUUAACUCUUCAUGGCCAGCUUCUUAGAUGAACUAGACAAUAAUAGGUUUGUGAUGUUCUUAGGUAUUCUAGAUUGCACAUGUACUACAUUGAUGUAUUUAAUGAGUCUAUAGCUUUGGUUGAAAGGUCCGGAUAAUCUUUUGAAAAUUUAUCAUAACCAGGAUUGAUCAUUCUAAUUGUUGUUCUAAAAUGUGUAA
rfam:Glycine soja cultivar W05 scaffold340_54, whole genome shotgun sequence.